AUUGAACGCUGGCGGCAGGCCUAACACAUGCAAGUCGAGCGAGCGGCGGACGGGUGAGUAAUGUCUGGGAAACUGCCUGAUGGAGGGGGAUAACUACUGGAAACGGUAGCUAAUACCGCAUACCAUCAGAUGUGCCCAGAUGGGAUUAGCUAGUAGGUGGGGUAACGGCUCACCUCGGCGACGAUCCCUAGCUGGUCUGAGAGGAUGACCAGCCACACUGGAACUGUGAUACUGUCCAGCUUCCUACGGGAGGCAGCAGUGGGGAAUAUUGCACAAUGGGCGCAAGCCUGAUGAAGCCAUGCCUCGUGGGUGAAGAAGGCCUUCGGGUUGUAAAGCACUUUCAGCGGGGAGGCGUUACCCGCAGAAUAAGCACCGGCUAACUCCGUGCCAGCAGCCGCGGUAAUUC
rnacentral:rRNA from 1 species